rnacentral:rRNA from 1 species
GUUGUAUUAAGAUAGUAUUACUUAUUUUUAGUUUAUCGAGUGUGUAAUUUUUUGUUCACUGGUAGUUUUUUAAUUGUUUUAUUGAUGUUCCAGAAUAAUCGGCUAUACAUUUUAAUUUUUAACUCUAUUUGUUGUAAUAUUACGAUUUUUUUUGUUUUUUUGUUUUAUGUUUUUUUUUGUAAAAUAUUUAAAUUUAUUUAUGUUUUUUUGUAAUAUUGAAAAUUUGGUGUUUGAACUGGAUUAGUACCCAGGUAAUCAAAAUUUAUUAAUUCGGGAGUAAAGUUUUGUUUAAACCGAAAAAAUAUUGACUGACUUUAGAUUUUUCUUUGGAAUAUGUGUUUUUUUGGAGAGCCCUCUUUUAUAGUGAAUUUUGUUGGCGCAUGUAUGAUUGUUUAGUUUUUACUUUUUUGGUAAUGCUUUGUGUUUUAUACAUUUAAAACAGAUAUAUAUUUGGCUUAUGGAUUUAUUUUUCAUGUGUUACUAUUGUUAAUUUUCUUUGGAUUAAUUUUUAAUUUUUUUGUUGAAAUUGGAAAAGAAAGUAAUUUUUUCUUAAUGUAAUAAUGAAUUUAAUAA